AAUCAGAUCGUGGAGUCUAAAACUGCAGUAUGAAACAGGAGAGGACACACCUUUUCCAGUUGCACAAUGCCGAGAAGGACAGCCCGAUCCUGGACCACCUACGGACGAAAUGGACGAUUUGUGGGAGGCAGUCAACGGAGCCGCCAUGGUUCAACAAAACACAACCCAGUGGGGGACGAGGAUGAAGGGCUGCCAGGCUAUGGCACAAAGGACCACUCUAAUGUUGACCCAUGGAAAGGAGCUGUCAGAAGAUUGGAAGCGGUCUAGUGUGGGCCAAUGGGAAUGGGUUCUGUCUGGAGAGGCUUGUCAAGGAACCUGGCUUGCGUCUGGAUGGCAAUGGGACAAGGGGACAUCUGGACCAGUAGAAUACUGACUUUUUCUGUCCAGACCAACACCAGCCAUCUUAAAAAGCUACCAUGCUGUCCUGCAGAGAUGUGGUGAACCUCAAGAAGCAGAAAACACAUGGGCCAUUGCCCUCCAGCUCUCCUCCAGCUCUCCUCCAGCUCCCUUCACUACUAUAGCAGCUGACAGAGGAAGAUGGACAAUCAAACAGCAC